GCAUCGAUGAAGAACGCAGCGAAAUGCGAUAAGUAGUGUGAAUUGCAGAAUUCAGUGAAUCAUCGAAUCUUUGAACGCACAUUACGCCCUUCGGUAUUCCGUUGGGCAUGCCUGUUCGAGCGUCAUUUGACCCUUCAAGCUCUGCUUGGUGUUGGGCGUUUGUUCCGCCUCCGCGCGUGGACUAGCCUCAAAUUCGUUGGCAGCCGGCAAGUUGGCUUCGUGCGCAGCACAUUGCGUCACGGCUCCAGUCUGCCUCCGUCCAGUAAGGCUCCUCAUCACUUUGACCUCGGAUCAGGUAGGGAUACCCGCUGAACUUAAGCAUAUCAAUAAGCGGAGGA
rnacentral:rRNA from 1 species